rnacentral:rRNA from 1 species
UGGGGAAUAUUGGACAAUGGGCGAAAGCCUGAUCCAGCCAUGCCGCGUGUGUGAAGAAGGCCUUUUGGUUGUAAAGCACUUUAAGCGAGGAGGAGGCUACUUGGAUUAAUACUCUAGGAUAGUGGACGUUACUCGCAGAAUAAGCACCGGCUAACUCUGUGCCAGCAGCCGCGGUAAUACAGAGGGUGCGAGCGUUAAUCGGAUUUACUGGGCGUAAAGCGUGCGUAGGCGGCUUCUUAAGUCGGAUGUGAAAUCCCUGAGCUUAACUUAGGAAUUGCAUUCGAUACUGGGAAGCUAGAGUAUGGGAGAGGAUGGUAGAAUUCCAGGUGUAGCGGUGAAAUGCGUAGAGAUCUGGAGGAAUACCGAUGGCGAAGGCAGCCAUCUGGCCUAAUACUGACGCUGAGGUACGAAAGCAUGGGAGCAAACAGG